UAAAUAUAAUAAUGAUGCUGACGUUACUAUAGGAUUCAUGAGAUAAAGUUAUCAAGAAACUGCUGGUAAAUUUUAUAGGAAUUGUGCGUAUCUGUAAUAAUGUAUUGCAUUAGUUGUGCACUGCAUAUAAUGAAGGCAAUCUUAUCAGGCGUAUUAUCAGUUUGACGGAUAAAUAAUUAUGCAUCAACUGUUAUAUAUGUUCCUUUACAUGAUGAAGCAAGUGAUUGUUUCAUAUAUGCAGUUGUCUGAUUAAUCAUUAAUUUAUGGAGACGAUUUUGAAAAAUU